rnacentral:rRNA from 1 species
UAUUGGAGAGUUUGAUCCUGGCUCAGGACGAACGCUGGCGGCGUGCCUAAUACAUGCAAGUCGAGCGGAGUUUAUCCUUCGGGGUAAGCUUAGCGGCGGACGGGUGAGUAACACGUAGGCAACCUACCCUCUAGACUGGGAUAACUACCGGAAACGGUAGCUAAUACCGGAUAAUUCCUUGACCCUCCUGGGUUUGGG